rnacentral:rRNA from 1 species
UACGUAGGGUGCGAGCGUUGUCCGGAAUUACUGGGCGUAAAGAGCUCGUAGGUGGUUUGUCGCGUUGUCCGUGAAAACUCACAACUCAAUUGUGGGCGUGCGGGCGAUACGGGCAGACUGGAGUACUGCAGGGGAGACUGGAAUUCUUGGUGUAGCAGUGAAAUGCGUAGAUAUCAAGAGGAACACCAGUGGCGAAGGCGAGUCCCUGGACAACUUCUGACGCUGAGGCACGAAAGCUAGGGGAGCAAACAGG